CCUUGAGGCGUGGCUUCCGGAGCUAACGCGUUAAAUCGACCGCCUGGGGAGUACGGCCGCAAGGUUAAAACUCAAAUGAAUUGACGGGGGCCCGCACAAGCGGUGGAGCAUGUGGUUUAAUUCGAUGCAACGCGAAGAACCUUACCUGGUCUUGACAUCCACAGAACUUUCCAGAGAUGGAUUGGUGCCUUCGGGAACUGUGAGACAGGUGCUGCAUGGCUGUCGUCAGCUCGUGUUGUGAAAUGUUGGGUUAAGUCCCGCAACGAGCGCAACCCUUAUCCUUUGUUGCCAGCGGUUAGGCCGGGAACUCAAAGGAGACUGCCAGUGAUAAACUGGAGGAAGGUGGGGAUGACGUCAAGUCAUCAUGGCCCUUACGACCAGGGCUACACACGUGCUACAAUGGCAUAUACAAAGAGAAGCGACCUCGCGAGAGCAAGCGGACCUCAUAAAGUAUGUCGUAGUCCGGAUUGGAGUCUGCAACUCGACUCCAUGAAGUCGGAAUCGCUAGUAAUCGUAGAUCAGAAUGCUACGGUGAAUACGUUCCCGGGCCUUGUACACACCGCCCGUCACACCAUGGGAGUGGGUUGCAAAAGAAGUAGGUAGCUUAACCUUCGGGAGGGCGCUUACCACUUUGUGAUUCAU
rnacentral:rRNA from 1 species